rnacentral:rRNA from 1 species
CAAUAGCGUAUAUUUAAGUUGUUGCAGUUAAAAAGCUCGUAGUUGGAUUUCGGUUAAGAGCGACCGGUCCGCCGUUUGGUGUGCACUGGUUGGUUUUAACUUCCUGUAGAGGACGUGCUCUGGGUUUAACGACCUGGACUCGGAGUCUACGUGGUUACUUUGAAAAAAUUAGAGUGUUCAAAGCGGGCUUACGCUUGAAUAUUUCAGCAUGGAAUAACACUAUAGGACUCCUGUCCUAUUUCGUUGGUCUCGGGACGGGAGUAACGAUUAAGAGGAACAGUUGGGGGCAUUCGUAUUUCAUUGUCAGAGGUGAAAUUCUUGGAUUUAUGAAAGACGAACUUCUGCGAAAGCAUUUGCCAAGGAUGUUUUCAUUAA